rnacentral:rRNA from 1 species
GAUGAACGCUGGCGGUGUGCCUAAUACAUGCAGUCGUACGCAUUCUCGUUUCUGAUUGACGGUGCUUGCACCUAAUUGACGAGACAUUGGAAUGAGUGGCGGACGGGUGAGUAACACGUGGGUAACCUGCCCAGAAGCGGGGGAUAACAUUUGGAAACAGAUGCUAAUACCGCAUAAAAGUCAAAACCACAUGGUUUUGGUUUAAAAGAUGGCCUUUGUGCUAUCACUUCUGGAUGGACCCGCGGCGUAUUAGCUAGUUGGUAAGGUAAUGGCUUACCAAGGCAAUGAGACGUAGCCGAACUGAGAGGUUGAUCGGCCACAAUGGGACUGAGACACGGCCCAUACUCCUACGGGAGGCAGCAGUAGGGAAUCUUCCACAAUGGGCGCAAGCCUGAUGGAGCAACACCGCGUGAGUGAAGAAGGGUUUCGGCUCGUAAAACUCUGUUGUUAAAGAAGAACGUAUCUAAGAGUAACUGCUUAGGUAGUGACGGUAUUUAACCAGAAAGCCACGGCUAACUACGUGCCAGCCGCCGCGGUAA